UCUGGUGCCAGCAGCCGCGGUAAUUCCAGCUCCAAUAGCGUAUAUUAAAGUUGUUGCAGUUAAAAAGCUCGUAGUUGAAUUUCGGGGUUAGUAAGUUGGUCAUGCCAUUGGUAUGCACUGGCUUUACUGAUUCCUCCUUCUUGACGAACCGUGAUGUCAUUAAUUUGGUGUUGCGGGAAAUCAGGACUGUUACUUUGAAAAAAUUAGAGUGUUUAAAGCAGGCUAACGCUUGAAUACAUUAGCAUGGAAUAAUGAAAUAGGACGUUAAUCCUAUUUUGUUGGUUUCUAGGAUAGACGUAAUGAUUAAUAGGGAUAGUUGGGGGCAUUAGUAUUCAAUUGUCAGAGGUGAAAUUCUUGGAUUUAUUGAAGACUAACUACUGCGAAAGCAUUUGCCAAGGAUGUUUUCAUUAAUCAAGAACGAAAGUUAGGGGAUCGAAGAUGAUCAGAUACCGUCGUAGUCUUAACCAUAAACUAUGCCGACUAGGGAUCGGAUGAUGUUAAUUCUUUAAUGACUCAUUCGGCGCC
rnacentral:rRNA from 1 species